UUGCUGGAGUCACCGGGUUCUCUGUAGAACUCCGAGUUGUUGCUGCAAGUGGCUGAUAGUUAAGAUAACAUCUGCAAUACAAGAGAGGAAGUAGUUGCUCCGGAAAAUAGAACUCAGCAAUGUAUCUCUGUGAAACUUGAGGGCUAGCUGCAUUAGAACUUUAAUGGGUGUUUUAGAAUUUACCGACGUCCAGGUUUCUGAGUCAGCCUCUCCUUGCUUUCAGAAUGCCCAUACUAGUUACAACGGAAUGGGCAGAGAGAGGAAAGAGUUUCCAUGAAUGAACUAACGGAUUAUGUUGCCAUUAUUAAACUGAGCAAGCAAACAUAAAAUCAAGACAAGUAAGGGAUCAAACUCAGGACCUUGUGUUUGUGAGGCAGGCAGCG
ensembl:lncRNA